UUUUACUCUCUCUCUCUUGGAGCUGGGACAUCUUUCUCCUGCCCUUGGACAUCAGAACUCCAGGUUCUCUGACCCUUGGACUCUGGAACUUACCCCCAUGGCCUCCCUGUUCUCAGGUCUGUGACUGUGGACUGAGAAUUAUACCAUGGGCUUCCCUGGUUCUGAGGCCUUUGAACUUGGACCGAGCUGCACUGCUGCUCCUGUGGUUCUCUAGUUUGCAGAUGGCUUCUAGAGGGAUUUCUCAGCCUCCAUAAUCCUGUGAGCCAAUCCCCGAAUAAAUCCCUCUCAUAUGUCUACAAUAUAUCCUAUUGGUUCUGUCUCUCUGGAGAAUCCUGACUAACACAGAAGAAUAUUGCAGCAACACAGGUUGAUGUCAAGCUUGGCCUGGUGACUUACUUCGGGCAAUGAAACAAGGAUGAAAAUGAUGUGAGAGCCAUUUGUGAGCACAGCCAUCAUGUGGCACUGUCCUCUCUUUUCCCUCUUCCACAAGACUAUGUAACAUACCAGGACUCUUUUCUUGGAAUAUCUACUACUACUUGACUGAAGGAGAUCUGGGGAACUGUCAACUAGGGAGCCUGCCUUCCCACCACUGCAUAGAUCAUUUGACCCUAAUGAGGACAAUGAGAGUCUUACUCCUAGAAAUCUGUACCUUAAGCAGCGACACCUAGGGAUGGAAUCCUGUGCACAGACAUGAAGCAGAUAGAGUUGAGCCAUCCAAUGAUAGAGCAUGAGAGAGAGAGAGAGAGAGAGAGAGAGAGAGAGAGAGAGAGAGAGAGGAGUUCUUAGCUUAUGUUACCUAAGUCCUCAGAGCCUUGGUUUCCACCUUUUCCAAGUUGUGAAUGUUUCUUUCUGGGCUGUGUAAUUACUCUCUCUUUCCAAUAAAUUGCUUUUUGCUUAUAUUAGCUGAGUCAAUGUCUGUUGGUUAUAAGCAAAAAAAAAAAAAUGCUGGAUAAUGUGGAUGGGCUCAGGGCUCAGUUAGCCUUCAUUCUGCUUGGAGAGGCUUGGAAGCCAACACUCUCAUUUCUCAGAUUCUCUUCUGGAUGCAAAUUGAGUCUUACCAAUUUAAUGCAUUAGUGUAAGAUUUAGAAGCCCUAAGUGAGAUAGAAGACUUUUUCCUGUCCCUUUUUGGUUGUCUAUGCUGACAAACAUGGCCGUGAAAAUCUGAGCUUUCUCUGCAGCAGUGACACAAUAUCCAAUCUCCAGCUUCCUUGGUGAUGAGGAAAAGUAGUGGUGGUGGCAGCAGCAGUGAUUACUUGAUCUGAUCUCAUAAUCCCUGCAUUAUACCUCUUUGGCUACCCAGGAGCAGUGGCAGCAGAGAGGUAGCAGGUUCUUGAACCAGGCAUAGCUCUGAUGGUACCUUAGUGGUAGCAGUUUUGUAUUAUUCUGCAAUCAUAUUAGAGACCCAGUCUACAACCUGCUCCUUCCACACAUCUAAUGAUUUUGUAAAAGAGAGGUAUGCUUUUCUUCUGUGAGAAGGUUACUUUGGAAUGAUGAUCUUAGGCCCUUGAAGUUGCCCAUCUAUCUGAGAACCUGCUGAGCAUGAUUACAAAUCAUGAGUUGGACUUAGGUUUUUCCCAAGCUGGCUGCAGAGACAACUUGUCUAGGCUUCCAGAGAACAGCCACAGCCCACAGAGAAUGUGUGUUUACCCAGACCUUUUCCAUGGUUUACUUCUGAAAAUUGGUUCAACCACAUGGGAAUCUAGUUAGACUCUUGGAAUUAUAAUCUUUGACUGGUACAUAACCCAAACAUUUUUUAUAGGAUUUAGAAAUCAGAUUGGAGCUUAGAAAAUGAAAGAAGAACAGUAAGAGUUCAAAUCCAAACCUCUUUGAGGUCCACCUGAAAUCUACCUUGUCAGGCAUACGUUCCCACUACCAAAUCAUCCAUCUUUACUAGAGGUAAUAGCAGGAAGCAGAAUUGUAGUGAGACACGGUGAAAGAUAAUUUCAAUCCUCAUACAGCCCACUUGGGAGGUAAAAGAAUAUAAAAAUUUCCUUUGUGUGUGACCUCCUAUUAAAUUAGGCAUAUUCUACCCAGGUGCUUAGGAGGAUAGAUAUUUCUUGCAUAUAGUUGAUUUUAUACCAUACUCCUGUAGUAUUUCAUCUGUGAACGAAGAUUAGUGCUACGGGCGAUAAAUUGAAGUGUAGGUUGAUACAUAAACACUAUCUUUAGGAAUCUGCUAUUAUAUCUGAAUUUCUAAGUACACAAAGGGAAUAAUUAAGACUGAUGCUUUAUUUGAAAAUGCAUUGUUUUUCUUGUUAAGAAUAAACCAUAGUAACUGAUAGAAAGAAAAAGCUUACCCAUAGUAGAAAGCCAGAAAAAAACUUGCUAUGCAAUGAAGAACUUACCGUUUCUAGUUCUAACAUUCGGUAGCUGAAAGCGGAUCAUUGCUAUAAAGAAGUAUUUACCAAUUUUAAAAGGUCUUGGCCCAUCAUAGCUAGUGUUAGAUUUGGAAUAUAGCUUUUGUUGCCAAGGUGACAAACACUUAUAAAUAUAACACAUCUUCUAAUGUGCUUUUAACUUGGUAUUUUUAUGGCUUUUAAAUCAGAUACCAUUAGCAAAUAUAUUAGGUAAUUUAGCUGAAAGACCAUUUUCCUCUAACACUUUUUGUUACAUUUCCCCAGGUAUUUCAGUAAAUGUCUGUUGUGACAUUCUGCUCCUGCUAGGCUUCCAACGUAAGGGGAUACAUAAAGUACAUCUGAAUUUCAGAAGCAUCAACUAUGUUCCAAGCACUGGAGAUACAAAGAUGAGCAAGUCUUGGCCCUCAAGAAGGACAGAAUAUCAGGAAAGAGGCAGGCAAAUCAAUGAAGUAUUACAAAAGGAUGAUAAACGCUGAGUCUGCACACAAAAGACAGGGUCAGAGAAGAGUCCCUAAAGAGGAAAGACUCUGAUAAUUGUUUUUAAAGAAUCAAGAUGGAAAAGAAGGAUGUAUAUUUUAUUUAAACAGCAAAAUUCUUGAGAGUCGGUGUUUUGUAUAAUCAAUCUAGAAUUGCUGUGUCCUUACUGUGUGAUCUUGAAUGCUGCUCUGUGCCUCAGUGACCCUCCUAUCUAAUGUGGGUAAUCAUCCUUGCUGCCCGCAUGGCCCACGGAGAACUACAGAUAGGAAUACUGGGAUGCGGGUGGUGUAGCCAUUUAAAUUCUUUGGAUAAGAGCGACACUAUGCAAACACACAGCAUCCUUAUUAUUCCAAGCGGUAGCAUUUUGG